ensembl:snRNA U6 U6 spliceosomal RNA
GGCUUUGCUGCUCGGGUAGGACAUAAACUAAAAUUGGAAUGAUGCAGCAUGACCCCUGCUCAAGGAUGACAUACAAGUUUGUGAGGCAUGCUGUAUUUGC